rfam:Neolentinus lepideus HHB14362 ss-1 unplaced genomic scaffold NEOLEscaffold_59, whole genome shotgun sequence.
AGCACAAUGGCUCAGUGGUAAGAGCACCACAGCACUCUGCAAGAGGUUCCUGGUUCAAUUCCACCUUGUGCCA